AUGCUCACAUUUGGGCUGCCGGAAAAACUGUAGAUCUAGGGAGUGGGAGAGGUAGACGGUACUCGAUAGGAAGGGGUAAAAUCCUUUGAUCUAUUGAUGACCAUCAGUGGCGAAGGCGGUCUACCAGAACACGUUCGACGGUGAGGGAUGAAAGCUGGGGGAGCAAACCGGAUUAGAUACCCGGGUAGUCCCAGCUGUAAACGAUGCAGACUCGGUGAUGCAUUGGCUUGUGGCCAGUGCAGUGCCGCAGGGAAGCCGUUAAGUUUGCCGCCUGGGAAGUACGUACGCAAGUAUGAAACUUAAAGGAAUUGGCGGGGGAGCACCACAAGGGGUGAAGCCUGCGGUUCAAUUGGAGUCAACGCCAGAAAUCUUACCCGGAGAGACAGCAGAAUGAAGGUCAAGCUGAAGACUUUACCAGACAAGCUGAGAGGUGGUGCAUGGCCGUCGCCAGCUCGUGCCGUGAGAUGUCCUGUUAAGUCAGGUAACGAGCGAGACCCUUGCCUCUAGUUGCCACCAUUGCUCUCUGGAGCAGUGGGGCGAAUUAGCGGGACCGCCGCAGUUAAUGCGGAGGAAGGAAAGGGCUACGGCAGGUCAGUAUGCCCCGAAAAUCU
rnacentral:rRNA from 1 species